rnacentral:lncRNA from 10 species
GCCCACUGAACUGGAGGCUGUGGACACUGUUCAGCAGACCCUGGGUGUGAUCCUCUUCAUCAGCACUCCCUGUCUGGGUGAUGGAGGCCGGAUGGACAGUUGGAUGGAACCCAAGCCCACCCCCAACAACGGAGGCUAUACAAGGAUGACAAAAGAGCAGCCCGCACUUUUGCCUCUGAAAAUAACUGCUUUUCGGAGGUGCCAGAGGAGAGAAUCGGUGGAGUGCCCUCCUCGAGUGGGAACACAGACCCACCCAAGCCUAGAAUCAUCGUCUUCUGGGUGAGCAAAACAUUUACUUCUCUGUGAAUAACAAAGUCAGCCUGUGAGUCCCUGAAGCCAUUUGACCCUUCCUUUAAGCGCCUCACUGGUGGAAUGGGAGGCUGACCAUGGAAUCAGUUAGAGUAAUAGCAAAUUCUAGAAUCCAUUCUGAGCGGGGUUACCAUUCAGGUCACGAGGUCGUUGGACUCAGCUGAGGCUUUUCACGCAGCCUUUUCAUGGGAAAGGAGCCUGUAGAAACCCGCGCUUCGCUUCCUGCAUGGCGGGUAGAGCGGCGGGAGAAGGGGAGGCUUCCUGGUUGGCCGCAGGACCUGCUUCCCAAGUGCCCGGAGCCUUUGGCGUGGAACUGCUCCAGG